rnacentral:lncRNA from 1 species
CCCUUUUUAUUUGAAUUCGGAGAACCAGAGGCGCCUGCAGAUUCUGGAGGGGUCUCGCCUGCCCAUCGCUGGCAGCCCGAGAUCCUGGGGAGGGGAUGCCAUACUGCUAGAGAUGAGGGAAGAGAGCCCCAAGCAGGAAAACAUUGAUUUGCUGUACACUCAAAGGGCAUCUCAUGCCUUCAGUCCACCGCCUCCUCGGGCCACAGCCCGUGCCCUCGCGCCGGCUCAGACUAGCUCUGGCCCUGCUGCUGUCGCUGCAGGUUGUCGUCUUCUUCCUGGUGGUCCUCGGGCAGGGGCGGCUCCUCCAGCCCUGCAGAGGAUGUCUGGAGCUCCCGGGUGGACCCGGCGAGGCGGAAGACCACGGGGAUCUGGGCCAGGGUUGGGUUGGUCUCCU